rnacentral:rRNA from 1 species
CCCGGGCGGAUUGGUACCCCGACGUCGUGCGUUCGCGCCGACGAAGGGGGAAACCUCCGGUGUCCUGGCUGCCCUGCGACGGUCGUGCAGCAGAGGAGCAAUGCAUCUCUCUCUCGCGGCGUGCAAAAGGUCGGUGACCCACCCGACCCGUCUUGAAACACGGACCAAGGAGUCUAACAUGUGUGCGAGUCAUUGGGCGCACUAAACCCAGAGGCGAAAUGAAAGUGAAAGGAGGGCGCGCUCUCCGGGGCCGAUCCCCGACCGGCUGUUGCCGCCAGAGUUCCCAUUCCAAAGCGAGGUACCAAGGGGGUUUGGCGGGGUGAGUCCCUUUCCCCCGUCUGCCUCUGGCCUCGUGGGUUCUCGGGGCGCACGACGGUCCGGCUCCCUCACGGGAGUCGCUCGUACGCGGGGGGGCGCAGGCCCGGGACUUGCCAUUCGACGCCGCGCGCAAAUCUGUUGUUGGCCUCGCCGGCUUUGCUUGGGCUCUCGG